UUUGAUCCUGKYMMAKKARGAACGCUGGCGGCGCGCCUAAUACAUGCAAGUCSAGCGAGAAGACGUAGCAAUACGUUUGUAAAGCGGCGAACGGGUGAGGAAUACAUGGGUAACCUACCCUCGAGUGGGGAAUAACUAGCCGAAAGGUUAGCUAAUACCGCGUACGCUUCUUGGACUUCGGUUCAGGGAGGAAAGCGAUACCGUGGGUAUCGCGCUCUUGGAUGGGCUCAUGUCCUAUCAGCUUGUUGGUGAGGUAACGGCUCACCAAAGCUUCGACGGGUAGCUGGUCUGAGAGGACGAUCAGCCACACUGGCACUGCGACACGGGCCAGACUCCUACGGGAGGCAGCAGUAAGGAAUAUUGCGCAAUGGGCGAAAGCCUGACGCAGCGACGCCGCGUGGGGGAUGAAGGUCUUCGGAUUGUAAACCCCUUUCGGGAGGGAAGAUGGAAUGGGGUAACCCAUUCGGACGGUACCUCCAGAAGCAGCCACGGCUAACUUCGUGCCAGCAGCCGCGGUAAUACGAAGGUGGCAAGCGUUAUUCGGAUUUACUGGGCGUACAGGGAGCGUAGGCGGUUCGGUAAGCCCUUUGUGAAAUCUUCAGGCUUAACCUGGAACAGUCGGAGGGGACUGCCGGGCUAGAGGACGGGAGAGGAGCGCGGAAUUUCCYGGUGUAGCGGUGAAAUGCGUAGAGAUCGGGAGGAAGGCCGGUGGCGAAGGCGGCGCUCUGGAACGUUUCUGACGCUGAGGCUCGAAAGCGUGGGGAGCAAACAGGAUUAGAUACYCUGGUAGUCCACGCCUUAAACUAUGAAUACUAAGUGUCGGCGGG
rnacentral:rRNA from 1 species